CUACGGGUGGCAGCAGUGGGGAAUCUUGCGCAAUGGGCGAAAGCCUGACGCAGCAACGCCGUGUGAAGGAUGAAGGUCUGAGGAUUGUAAACUUCUGUUAGGGGGGAAGAAGUACUGACGGUACCCCCAAAGAAAGCACCGGCUAACUCCGUGCCAGCAGCCGCGGUAAUACGGAGGGUGCAAGCGUUAUUCGGAAUUACUAGGUGUAAAGGGCGUGUAGGUGGUUUGUUAAGUUAGAUGUGAAAUCUCACAGCUCAACUGUGAGGCUGCAUUUAAAACUGGCAGACUUGAGUAUAGGAGGGGAAAACGGAAUUUCUGGUGUAGCGGUGGAAUGCGUAGAUACCAGAAGGAACACCUACGGCGAAAGCGGUUUUCUGGCCUAAUACUGACACUAAGGCGCGAAAGCUAGGGGAGCAAACAGGAUUAGAUACCCCCGUAGUC
rnacentral:rRNA from 1 species